GACGAACGCUGGCGGCGUGCUUAACACAUGCAAGUCGAACGGAAAGGCCCCCUUGUGGGGUACUCGAGUGGCGAACGGGUGAGUAAUACGUGAGUAACCUACUCUUGACUUUUUGAUAACUUCUGGAAACUGGGGCUACUACCGGCUAGGAGCUCCUGCUGCAUGGUGGGGGUUGGAAAGUUUUGGCGGUUGGGGAUGGGCUCGCGGCUUAUCAGCUUGUUGGUGGGGUAGUGGCUCACCAAGGCUUUGACGGGUAGCCGGCCUGAGAGGGUGACCGGCCACAUUGGAACUAAGAUACGGCCCAGACUCCUACGGGGGGCAGCAGGGGGGAAUAUUGCACAAUGGACGGAAGCCUGAUGCAGCAACGCCGCGUGCGGGAUGACGGCCUUCGGGUUGUAAACCGCUUUCGCCUGUAACGAGGCGGGGGUGACGGUAAUGGGUAAAGAAGCACCGGCUAACUACGU
rnacentral:rRNA from 1 species